CAGAAUUUAGUUUAUAGAAAAUAAUUCAUUUACGUUGAGUUGAAUUAAAUGCAAUUUUUAAUUUCUGA
rnacentral:tRNA from 1 species